rnacentral:rRNA from 1 species
CCAGACUCCUACGGGAGGCAGCAGUGAGGAAUAUUGGUCAAUGGCCGAGAGGCUGAACCAGCCAAGUCGCGUGAGGGAAGAAUGUCCUAAGGAUUGUAAACCUCUUUUGUCGGGGAGCAAAAAGGCUCUGCGGAGUCGUAUUGAGAGUACCCGAAGAAAAAGCAUCGGCUAACUCCGUGCCAGCAGCCGCGGUAAUACGUAGGGUGCAAGCGUUAUCCGGAUUUAUUGGGCGUAAAGGGCUCGUAGGCGGUUCGUCGCGUCCGGUGUGAAAGUCCAUCGCUUAACGGUGGAUCCGCGCCGGGUACGGGCGGGCUUGAGUGCGGUAGGGGAGACUGGAAUUCCCGGUGUAACGGUGGAAUGUGUAGAUAUCGGGAAGAACACCAAUGGCGAAGGCAGGUCUCUGGGCCGUUACUGACGCUGAGGAGCGAAAGCGUGGGGAGCGAACAGGAUUAGAUACCCCGGUAAAG